rnacentral:rRNA from 1 species
GACAGAGGUGCCGAGCGUUAGGCGGAAUCACUGGGCUUAAAGCGUGUGUAGGCGGGUCGUUAAGUGUCUUGUGAAAUCCCACCGCUCACCGGUGGAACGGCUGGGCAUACUGGCGACCUUGAGAGGCCUAGGGGCAGACGGAACAAGCGGUGGAGCGGUGAAAUGCGUAGAUAUCGCUUGGAACGCCGACGGCGAAAGCAGUCUGCUGGGGGCCUUCUGACGCUGAGGUGCGAAAGCUAGGGGAGCGAACGGG